GUCUCUUAGGAGGAUCUUCUCUGCAUUUCGUGUACAGAUUUCUCUCGAAUCUCACAGAAGCAAUAUUGGAACAGAAAGUGAAACUAUAUUGCUUCUGACAAGCCUGCCCCCUGCGUGGCUUUUCCAGCUACAACUGACUAGCAUUGUGUUCACCUGGAGAGAGGAGAUUCUAAACCGUCCACUCCCUGCUGAUCCUUAGUUUCUGGCUGGUGACACACCAGGAGGACAGGAUGGCUCCAAUCUCCCUGAUGAAGGGGUAAUCACUUGACUUUCUCUUGGAAACAGAGGCACUGGUUCAGGUCCACAACAUUGAACUUGGAGAGCAAUAACCUUUGUGUGCAAAG
rnacentral:antisense_RNA from 1 species